rnacentral:lncRNA from 10 species
AUUCCAAUCCCCAGCUGCUGUUGGUUUCCCUGGCCCCUUUGGCAUCCAAGCAGCAGACACAAGCAUGCUAGGUAGUACAGGCUCAAGAUAUGUCCAUUGAAUAAGUGAAUGACAACUGCUAAAGCUAACACACAUUCAUUCAUUCAACUCAUCACAACUGAGCCCCUAUCACAUCCCCGGUGCCGUGUGGGGUGGACAGGUGGGGUGGACAGGUUAGCGCCGGGACAGGCGGUGCUUAGAAAUGGCUCGUGCAGGACUCAGAUGGCUCACCCUGAGCAGAAGCGCAUGUUCUAUGGUUGCCCUAUGCAGGACCCUGUGCUGAUAACCUGAUAGGCAGCUUCUCACUGAGUUUCUAUAAUGGUUCUAUGAGAAAGGUGAUCUUAUAGACCUAUUUUACAGGUGAGGAAACUGAGGCUUACAGAGGUGAAGUGAGUUUCCCAGGACCAAAACAGUUUGAAUAUCCUGGGCCUGACUCCAGACCAUGUCCUUUAACUACAAGGGGAUCUGACUGUGCCCUUUGACAGUGGGUGACCUGAGGGUGAAGCCCCAUUCCUUCCAAGUGGCUGCCCUGGGAUCAGCCACCAGAGGCUAAACUUCAGAAAAAGACUGCAGAGAAGGGCUGCAGACCUUCCCCAGAAUCUACCUGGAUAACCUCUCUGAAUCCUUCAUGAUGAACCUGGCCAUCACUCCUGUAGGAAGCCUUCUGCGAUAACCCCAGGCUCCAAGGGGAGUUGGACAUGAAGACCAUCGCUCCUGUGCCCACUUCCUGCACAGCACCUAUGGUCCUGGCUUGAGUUUGUCUGUUUUCCCUUCUCUCCCCAUCACUCCUGCAACCCAAGAAAGGAAAGACUCUAUCUUUUCCAUCUCAAUGUAGUGAUGCUUGGCAUAUAGUAGGUGCUCAAUAAAUAAGACAUGAACACAUAUAUCUUGCUCUUCUUCGAUCUAUUUUGCAUUUAACAUGGGAAUGACCUUUCAAAUGACAAGAUCAGAUCAUGAAACCCCCUGACAAAAAUUCUACAGUGAUUUCCUGUUGCACUUACAAGAAAUCCCAGAGUCCUCCCCUGGGUCUUGCUGACUCUCAGGCCUCGUCUCACUGCACCUCCCCUGAUUUACAGCCCCCCAGCCAUGCAGAGCUCCUCUACUCCCCAUUACAUCCAGCAGAGGCCACCCUCGGGCUCUUGCACCCGCUGUCCCAGACACCUGCAGUGCAUGGUCCUGCUCUUCUCAUGGCUGCUGCCUUCUCUGCCUGUGGGUCUCAACUUGAGUCCUGCUGUCUCAGAGACCUCCCUGGUGACCCCAUUUACA